UACGGAAGGGGCGAGCGUUGCUCGGAAUCACUGGGCGUAAAGGGCGCGUAGGCGGCUCAUGAAGGCUGUGGUGAAAGUCCGGGGCUCAACCUCGGAUCGGCCGUGGCGACUCGUGGGCUGGAGCACUGUAGAGGCAGGUGGAAUUCCGGGUGUAGCGGUGGAAUGCGUAGAGAUCCGGAAGAACACCGGUGGCGAAGGCGGGUCUCUGGGCCGUAACUGACGCUGAGGAGCGAAAGCGUGGGGGAGCGAACAGG
rnacentral:rRNA from 1 species